rnacentral:rRNA from 1 species
AUAACGACUCUCGGCAACGGAUAUCUCGGCUCUCGCAUCGAUGAAGAACGUAGCGAAAUGCGAUACUUGGUGUGAAUUGCAGAAUCCCGUGAACCAUCGAGUCUUUGAACGCAAGUUGCGCCCCAAGCCUUUAGGCCGAGGGCACGUCUGCUUGGGUGUCACG